UGCUCACCCUCUCGGGACCUGGCGGGGGCAGGGUCCCAAGUGAGGUAGCGACGGCAGCCAGGGAGACGUUCUUGCGGAAGGCGCCGGAGCCUCCAGCUCCUACCCAUCUCUGCUCCGGCCUCUGGCCAGAAGAGCUGGCCCGGGGCUGGCAGGCCGCUCUGCAUGCAUCUACAUUCUCUUUGGAUCCGAAGUGUUCGCUCUCGCUCCUGCUCUCAUACCUAUGUCCCAGACAGUGUGGAAGAAACGCCAAAGGGAGCCCAGGCCCAUUCUUUUUAAGGGCACUGUGGUAGACUAACUAAUCGUCAACUUGUAACACCCAGCUGAACUGAAUCAGCGUGGUGCUGGGCGUGGGGGGCCCACCUGAGGAGUGUCACCAGCAGCAUAAAAGAACCGGAGGGGAAGAUGGUGAAUCUCCUGGAGAAGCAUGUCUUGCUGGUUUCCCUGACGUGAACUCUGCUGUUCUCAUCAUCAGAGGAGCUCGGGUCCUCGCUGUCACUGAGGAUGGCUGAGGUUCUCUUUCGGGGAGUUCUGGUCGUUAUCUUGCGCAUCACUUCCUGGCUCCAGUGCAGAUCCCUCAGCUGCUGGCACAGAUCCUUCAUCCCGCCGGCACAGACUUUGUAGCUUCCACCACUGGCCUUUGGGCCUUCCCAGUGC
rnacentral:lncRNA from 1 species